rnacentral:sRNA from 1 species
GAUUGUGUUCGAAAUGAAACCUGGCAGAGAUUGUAAGUGAAGCUGUCGUAAUUAUCAAUCACGAUGAUAGGACCAGAGGAAUUGACAAC